GAAGGGGGCUAGCGUUACUCGGAAUUACUGGGCGUAAAGGGCGCGUAGGCGGCGCUCCAAGUUAGGCGUGAAAGUCCUGGGCUCAACCUGGGAACUGCGCUUAAGACUGGAGUACUUGAGGAUGGAAGAGGGUCGUGGAAUUCCCAGUGUAGAGGUGAAAUUCGUAGAUAUUGGGAAGAACACCGGUGGCGAAGGCGGCGACCUGGUCCAUUACUGACGCUGAGGCGCGACAGCGUGGGGAGCAAACAGGAUUAGAUACCCUGGUAGUCCACGCCGUAAACGAUGUGCGCUGGAUGUUGGGUGACCUAGUCACUCAGUGUCGUAGCUAACGCGGUAAGUGCACCGCCUGGGGAGUACGGCCGCAAGGUUG
rnacentral:rRNA from 1 species